rnacentral:rRNA from 1 species
CUUGUCCUACGGGAGGCAGCAGUGGGGAAUAUUGCACAAUGGGGGAAACCCUGAUGCAGCAACGCCGCGUGAGUGAAGAAGUCAUUCGUGAUGUAAAGCUCUAUCAGCAGGGAAGAAAAUGACGGUACCUGAGUAAGAAGCCCCGGCUAACUACGUGCCAGCAGCCGCGGUAAUACGUAGGGGGCGAGCGUUAUCCGGAUUUACUGGGUGUAAAGGGAGCGUAGACGGCUGGUCAAGUCUGAAGUGAAAGCCCGGGGCUUAACCCCGGAACGGCUUUGGAAACUGAGCAGCUAGAGUGCUGGAGG